rnacentral:rRNA from 7 species
GGGUUGUGAGGUUAAGCGACUAAGCGUACACGGUGGAUGCCCUGGCAGUCAGAGGCGAUGAAGGGCGUGCUAAUCUGCGAUAAGCGCCGGUAAGGUGAUAUGAACCGUUAUAACCGGCGAUACCCGAAUGGGGAAACCCAGUGUGACUCGUCACACUAUCAUUAACUGAAUCCAUAGGUUAAUGAGGCGAACCGGGGGAACUGAAACAUCUAAGUACCCCGAGGAAAAGAAAUCAACCGAGAUUCCCCCAGUAGCGGCGAGCGAACGGGGAGGAGCCCAGAGCCUGAAUCAGCAUGUGUGUUAGUGGAAGCGUCUGGAAAGGCGCGCGAUACAGGGUGACAGCCCCGUACACAAAAGCGCAUGUGCUGUGAGCUCGAUGAGUAGGGCGGGACACGUGGUAUCCUGUCUGAAUAUGGGGGGACCAUCCUCCAAGGCUAAAUACUCCUGACUGACCGAUAGUGAACCAGUACCGUGAGGGAAAGGCGAAAAGAACCCCGGCGAGGGGAGUGAAAAAGAACCUGAAACCGUGUACGUACAAGCAGUGGGAGCACAGGUUUACCUG